GGGCGCUGCCUGGGUUUGGAGGAUGGAGGGGGAGGGGACCCGCGGGGGCCAGGACUCAGCUGGGAGGCUGAAGGCGUGGGGUGGCCAAUUGCUUGGUCACACACAAAACCUUCCUGCAACUUGCCUCUUCCAGGGGACCAGCUGUGCUGGAGUCAGUGAUGCUGAGAGAUUAUUACGUGCUACCCCAAUGGAAUCGGCGAUGGGGCACACCAUGGAUUUUACUCUGAAGAACACCUGCACACCGGAGGAUGCCAAUGGGACAAUGAAGUUUCAUUCUUUUUAUUGGCUCUGUUAGGUUAGAGAACAUCGUUCCCAGUAAGGACUAUGUCUCCACCAGCAAAGUGAGGAUUCUACUGAAUUUGAAGCUGGGUCUACCACCUGGCCACCUUGGACUCCUCGUGCCAAUGGAUCAGAAGGGAGUUAUAGUAAUGUUGGGGUAAGUAACUUGCUUUUCUUGAGGGGAGAGGGUUGAUACUACAUAAUGGGAACAGGGAGGAAUAUGCUUACUUGUAUAUCUUCUAUCUCUUUAUUCUUCUGAUUGCUGAGAGAUUGCCUCUUUGUCUGAUUUUCUAAUUCACAAAUUUAUUCUUUAGCUAUUUCUUCCUUUCUUUAUCCCAUCUUUGGUGUAGUUUUUCAGUUAUUAUACCUCAUAUAUUUUCAUUUUUAAUGAUUUUUUAUUCUUAUUAUUACUAAUAGCUUGUUACAUCUCUUUAAGUAUAUUUAUCAUGUUUACAUAAAAUUCUUGUUCUAUCUCUUUUAACACUUUUGUUUCAAAUGGUAUAUCUUAAAGAUUUUUGGAUCUUUUGAGGUAGUUUUAAUUUGCACUAUUAUUUUUGAUUUUUAAUUUAGGUUUCUCUUUAAAUGUUUUAAUAAAUAGAGUGGAAGGACCGAAGGCCAGGUCCUAGCCUAGGCUAAGUUAUCCUGAUACAUUUAAGGGUAAGUGAGGGUCUAAUGCCUGAGGGCAGAUGCUUAUUCCUAUAGACUAUCUUUCAAGGUUCUCAAACUCCUAUCCACAGAUCUUUCCGCCAUUUAAAAUUAGUUCUUGUGUGUGGUGUGAAAUAGAGUGUAAGUGCAGAUAGGAGUCUAAGUUUAAAAAAAAUUUUUUUUAUGGAUAGCCAAUUGUUCGGUACCAUUUGUUAAAAGGUAUUUUCUUUGCUUUAAAUUGCUUUGGUUCCUUUAUCAUAAACAAUUUGCUUUAUAACUAUGGAUCUAUUUCCGGCCUCUCAAUUCUAGCUCAUUGACCUGUUUGUCUAUCUUCUUGUCAAUACUACACUCUCUUGAUUACCAAAGCUUUGUAAUAAGUCUUGAGGUGAGGUAGUGUGAGUUCUCCAACAUUGCUCUUUCUCAAAAUUGUUUUGACUAUUCUAGGUCCUUUGUCUUUUCAUAUAAAUGUUAAAAUCAGCUUUUCUAUGAUCCUUUUUCUAUUCUUUUUCUAUAAAAAUGCUGGUCUGGCAUGUGAUUGGGAUGACAGCAGAUCUACAUACCAAUUUAGGGAGAACAUUCAAGCUUAUAAUAUUAAGUAUUCUGGUGCAUGAACAUGGGAAAUGUCUCCAGUUUUCAAAAUGAGCAAAUUGAGGUUUAGAAAGCCUAAAUGACUUGAUAAGGUUAUAGACCUGAAAGCAGCAGAAGCUUUUAAAAUCUGUUUACAAUUAAUCGACUCACCAGAAUGGCCUACACUCUUCUUUUCCUCUGCAAAUCACAUUAACUGCUACCCCAUGGCAUUGUAAACUUUUUUGGCUAAUCUAUUUCUGUCUAACACGUCUGCUUCUGCCAGAUACAUUUUAGACUUAUCUAGAGUCAGUUGUGUUUUUUCUAGUAUCUAGUUUUUGAAAUAGAGUUUGUUGUUAGAAUUAAAUAAUUUAAAUAGUACACAUUAUAACCUAGCAAUUCCAUUUUUUAAAAAUUUGUCCUGUCAGAGAUGCACAAAAUGAUUUUGAUAUGACAAUAUUUAUCAUAGUCUUAAAAUUAAUACUCUCCACUAGGAAACAGUCUAAGUGUCUCAUAAAAGGAAAUGAUUACGAACAUUUGGUAUUUUUAUAUGAUGGCUACUAUUCAGCCAUUAUAAACCACAUAUUCAAAGAAUGUUUAAUAAUAUGUGGGAAUUCCUAUAUAAAAUAUUUGAAGAGAAAAGCAGGAUAUAAAGCUAUACAGCUUCUUUUUGACUUAAAGUGAGGUUACAUCCUGAUAAACCCAUCAUAAGUUGAAAAUAUCGUCAGAGGAAAAUGGAUUUAAUACACCUAACCUACCCUACUUUAAAUGUGCUCAGAACAUUUAUACUAGCCUAUGAUAUAAAUGAUUAGUUGGGCAAAAUCAUCUCUCAAAUACUGUUUUUAGUAAGGUAACAAAUAUCUCACGCAAUUUGUUGAAUACUGUACUGAAAAUGAAAACCAGUGUUUGUAUGGGUACUUGAAGUAUGGUUUCUUCUGAAUGUGUUUCACUUCUGUAACAUCAUAAAAUCAAAAAAAAGUAAGUCAAGGGCCAUCUGUACAUGUAUAGAAGAAUCCUGGUAUUUACAGUAUUCCUGAAUUUGCUACUCUUGCCUGUGUAGCAUCCUGUGAUCUUUCUUGUUAUUUCAGGGGCAUAGUUCCACAAUCACUUCAAUUCUUUGUGUAAGAGACACAUAUGACAAAGAUGGCAUACACACAGACACUGACUUUAUACUCCUCCGCCCCCAGUGACUUUGUCACAAGGCAAUUCUGUUGUAAUUGAACCAGGGUGGGGGGUGUGAUGGGGGACUGGUGUAAGUCCUGGAAUCCAAAGGCACAAAGGCGUGAGAACCAGGAACUUCAAUGUCCAAGGGCAGGAGGAGAUGAAUGUUCCAGUUCAUAAAGACUGGAAAGAUGAAAAUUGGUCUUUCUCUGCCUUAUGUUCUAUUUGAGCCCUCAUUGGAUUGGAGACUAAGUGUCUUUACUUAGUCUAACAAUUCAAAAUGCUAAUCUCUUCUGGAGAUACUCUCACAGACACACCCAGAAAUAAUGUUUCAGCAGCUACCUGGGCAUCCCUUAGCCCAGUCAAGUUGACACAUAAAAUUAACCAUGACACCCAUAAAGUGCAUUCAGAACUCUGACCUCAUCCUAUGCCUUUUAGAUGCUAUUCUCUCUCCCUCAUACCAUGGUUUUGAUUCUGCUAUGUAGUUUGUGAAAAACAAUUUUCUUAACUCCCAUGAUUAAGGCCAUUUCAUGGCAUUUAAUUUCCCCUAUGGGAUCUUACCGUCAUUGGGUAGAACAUCCAGUGUGAUGUGUUUCGUACUGCAGAGCUGGCCAUAUAGAUUUCUGUUUUUACAAGUGAUGCUAGAUAAAUCCUGUGGCAUUUUAGGUAACAGCUGUAUGACCCUAUUGUUCACACUCAAAUGAUGAAUUAUCUUCCCCGAUACAACAGUGAGAAAAUAUACCCCAAAAUAAGCAGGACCAACUUUAUCUCAGGAUUCUCAUAUCUCCUAUUCAUUUGUUCAUAAUUUCCCAGAGAAAUUAGAUGUAUUAUUUCAAGGCUUAUAAUAUCAGAAUUAGAAAGAUAAAGAAUCUAUGCUUAGAGGAAGGUAAAAAUGAAAUUGGGGCAUAAGUAAUGCUCACACAUGAAAAGAGGUGAGUUAUUCAGUACAGUCACUGGCUCGAUAAGAUAGAAGAAACCUCAUGGGUACUAUCUGAUAAGGACUAAGUAAAGAAACUGGCAAAGAUGAUUGUGAGCAUUUGAAUGGGACAUGGUGUGGGGUAAGUGGAUUUGAUGCUAUAUUUUCCCUACUCCUUUAGCUCUUAGGUUGUGCAAAUGUCUGUUAUAAAGAGAAGUAUAACUACAGUAUAAAUUCACCAAGGAGCCAUGUGGAAUCCCGAAAGUGACCUGGAUGUGAUCCUCCGACUACGUUCCAUUCCUGUUCCUCCAUACUGGCAGUAUUCCAGGACCUGAAAAACAUGACUUGCUGUGGAACUUGGCAAAAUCCCCCUGGAGGAAGCUAUUUGUCAUUGAUUUAAAGUGGACAGAAAGUCUGCUUCAAACACUUGUUUAAGCAGUUUCCCUCUUAUUAAUUUAUUUAGUUCUUACAAUGAUCCAGUGAAGUGGGUACCAUCAUCCAUCUCAUUUUAUGUAUGAAGAAACUGGCCUAGGGGUAUUAAACUAUUAACAGAUAUAAAUUCUAACCUAGAAAUUCCAUUUAAAAAAUUUAUUCUGUCAGAGAGGGGAACAAAGAUUUUAGUAUGAUAAUAUUGAUUAUUGUCUUAUUACUAAUACUCUCCAUUGAGAAACAACCUAAGUGUCUCAAAAAAAAAAAAAAGAAAUUAUUAAGAACAUUUGGUAUUUUUAUAUGAUGGCUACUAUUCAGCCAUUAUAACUUGCCUAGUUCACACAGCUAAAAGCUGUCAGAGCUGGGGUUUGAACCUAGGAAUUUCUUUUUUCUAAAGUCCACACUUUUAGCUAUAGCCUGUCUCCAAUUAUAUGAGAUAUAUCAUAUGAUGCUAAUAGCACAAAGGAAAAGUUUAAAGAAAUUUAUUAGCUUGCAUUUUAUCUGUCUAUUUACAGUUGCAAUGUUUUCUUCUUUCUUGAAAUGACUAGUUCUCAAUUUAGCAAUAUCCUGGGGAUGAAUUUAGGAAUCCCAUAAUCCCAUUGCUACGUAUUUUACUUGGACUUACUACUUACAGCAAAAGACUAAAAAUACAAUAGGGCAAGAUACAUUAUUCUCUGUUGUUAAGCCAUGUAGUCCAGUGAAAAGAAAAACAAGAAAUAUAACCUUAAUUCCUUCUAUAACAUUUUCCCUCAUUCCUGAGCAAGCGUGGUGCUUCCAGAAAAGCAAUUAUAUUCGCAGCUAUAGGUGAAGUAACCUAGGAGAGAAAUUUAGUCUGGAUGCUUCCUUGUGAUGCUUUGCCUGACUAUUUCCUUCAAAGUUUUAGGAACCAAACUCAGGAGUCCCUUCCUCCAGGAAGCCCCUUCCUCCCUCAGCUCUGCCUGAUUAUGUGCCACUCCUCCACACUCCCAGAGUGCUUUGCACUCUUCCGUCAUUGCACUUGUACUGUAAUUGUUGGUUUUUAUGCCGAGGAACUGAGACUGAGCCUGAUGAACUGUGCAUGCCUAAGAAAGUUUACUAAAUGAAUGGAUGAGUGAAUGAGGGAAUGAAGAGGACAGGAGGAUGGAGAGAUCCAGAGUUAAAUUACCAUGUUCGGUUUUAAACUUUGGUGUCUUCUGAGGACAAGGACUAUGCUUCAUUCAUAGCACCAGGCUUGGCACAUUAGCCUUGUUCACUGUUCUAGGAUGACUGUUGUUUAAUAUGCGAGGAUGAAACUGUCACUAUGUUAGAUAAGGUGUAUAUAUGAAUGGUUUGCCUCAGGGGGCAGCUAUGCCUUCCCAACAGCUUUUCUACCAACUCUUUUUAUUCUUAGUAAAAAUAUCUGAAAUGUUUCCAGGAUGAGAGGUUGACAUGUUUGACAGAAUGAAUUUUGGAAAGGACAACUUAUGUCUGGAUAAUAAUGAAUAGCCCAGUUCAUCCUGUAUUAAGUCCAGGUGGAGAAGUAGUGAGAGGAGAAAUUAAAAAGACAGUUGUGGAAUGCUCUAAUAGCCAGUCAGGCUGACUAAUUUGUAUUUUGUCCUGGAGACAAAAAGGAACCAAACAAAGCUGUUGAGUUAUAAAAUAACAAGAGCACAUAUUUACUAUAAGAGAGAUUUUUUAAAAAGACACUUAAAUGAGUUUAUUAUCUGUUUGAAAUGUAUCUUAAGGUGCUGGAUUUGGUAACUCUAUUGGUAACCACUUUAUUUUACCUUAAGAAAUGUCUCAGUGCUUGGCAUAUUGUAGGAACUCAAUAAAUAUGAGUGCAUGAAUGACAUCAGAAAAUUACCUACUGCAAUAAAUAAAUAAACAAAUUCACCACCAAAUAUGGUGGCCUGCACCUGU